rnacentral:lncRNA from 1 species
GACCACAGACUGAAACCAUGAAUCACACACAAACUAGAAUGAUGAAGCAGCUUAAGUCACAGUAAGCAUGCUCCGACCGACGUGAGAUCAACGGAAGAUGUCCAAGGGAGUGACUCACCAAACAAGCGCGAAAAUAAGGGUGACUCUUCUUCACACUGCGGUAUGCAGUGGUUCACACUGAUUGUCAUCUUGACAGGAUCCAGACCUGCCCAGGAGACAAACCUCUGGGCAUGUAUGUGAGGAAGCUUCUAGACUGAGCUGACUGAGAUAGGAGGACCCACCAAUGUGGGCAGCACCCUCUCUGGGGCUGGAGAAUGAAUGCGCCUUGCUUUUCUGUUCCCCAUGGACACAAUGUAACAGCUGCCUUACAAUUCCAGUUGCCAUUUCCCUGUCAUGGUGGACUGUACUUUUG